CUGUCUCGAAAAACUAGCCAACCAACC
rnacentral:piRNA from 1 species